GAUGAACGCUAGCGGCAGGCCUAACACAUGCAAGUCGAGGGGUAGCAGGAUUAAGCUUGCUUAAUUGCUGACGACCGGCGCACGGGUGCGUAACGCGUAUGCAACCUACCUUAUACUGGGGUAUAGCCCGGAGAAAUUCGGAGUAAUCCCCCAUAGUACUAAUGAAUCGCAUGGGUUAUUAGUUAAAGCAUUGCGGUAUAAGAUGGGCAUGCGUCCUAUUAGGUAGAUGGUGAGGUAACGGCUCACCAUGGCUACGAUAGGUAGGGGGCCUGAGAGGGUGGUCCCCCACACUGGUACUGAGACACGGACCAGACUCCUACGGGAGGCAGCAGUGAGGAAUAUUGGUCAAUGGGCGCAAGCCUGAUCCAGCCAUUCCGCGUGCAGGAUGAAGGCCCUCGGGUUGUAAACUGCUUUUGUACAGAACGAAAAGGUUUCUACUAAUACUAGGAGCUCAUGACGGUACUGUAAGAAUAAGCACCGGCUAACUACGUGCCAGCAGCCGCCGUAA
rnacentral:rRNA from 1 species